GUGCCAGCAGCCGCGGUAAUACGUAGGUGGCAAGCGUUGUCCGGAUUUAUUGGGCGUAAAGCGAGCGCAGGCGGUUUUGUAAGUCUGCUGUGAAAGCCCUCAGCUCAACUGAGGAAGUGCAGUGGAAACUACAAAACUUGAGUACAGAAGAGGAAAGUGGAACUCCAUGUGUAGCGGUGAAAUGCGUAGAUAUAUGGAAGAACACCAGUGGCGAAGGCGGCUUUCUGGUCUGUUACUGACGUUGAGGCUCGAAAGUGUGGGUAGCAAACAGGGAUUAGAUACCCUGGUAGUCCACACCGUAAACGAUGAACACUAGGUGUUAGAGGGUUUCCGCCCUUUAGUGCCGAAGCUAACGCAUUAAGUGUUCCGCCUGGGGAGUACGGCCGCAAGGUUGAAACUCAAAGGAAUUGACGGGGGCCCGCACAAGUGGUGGAGCAUGUGGUUUAA
rnacentral:rRNA from 1 species